rnacentral:misc_RNA from 1 species
UCACAAGGUUGACAUGCAUGAUGGAUGUACCCUUAAUCAUCGUUAUGUCAAAUCAAAUCCCCAUGAAGUUGAAAAUGCCACAUGGAUGCUAACUGUAAGUCCUCAUGUGAUAUGAAUUUUUUAACUAUUUUGGUAUGUCAAGGAAUAUAAGUUUGCCAUGGAUACAGAAACAUAUGUAUACCCUUGUAGAUGCUUAACUUUUUAAUUGCAAGAUAUGAUCAUGGCAUCAUGCAUACUAAUUAAUAUUCACUGUUCUAUGUAUUUUUUUUUUUAAUCAGGCCUGGAGCUAGAAGUUGACUCAUCUUGGUGCAUGAAAAAAAAAUGCUUUGACAGUACUGAAAAAACAAUUUAAACUAGAUUUUCAAUAGAAAUUUGCAACUGGUUCUUGCUGGUCUGUUUGGGAAUAGUUAAUUUCCUCUGACGGUCCUAUGCCUUCAGUUUAUACUGUUCGAAUAGGAAUUUAACUGGUGUUGUGUGAACUGCAUUGACAUCGCUGUGAUAAAGUUAAAUUGCAAUAAUAAGCCAUUAUAUUUCUGGAAAUCUUUUUCCACAAUCCAAUUAACCAAAAUUAAGGACUUCUUACUGUUUUGUUGGACAAUUUUAGUUACCGUAGACUGUAUCCAAAACUUUAAUUAACUUUGAAUCUUGUGAUCCUGUGAAGGUCUUCAAUUGUUUUGGAAGGCAGUUCUGCUUGCAUUUCGAGGCAUUUCAACUGGGCAUGGGACCAGUAUACAUGGCCUUUUUACGUUUUAUGGGUGAUGAUAAUGAAGCAAAGAAAUUUAGCUAUAGCUUAGAAGUUGGUGGGAAUGGCCGCAAGCUAACAUGGCAAGGAAUUCCCAGGAGCAUCCGUGAUAGUCACAGGAAAGUUCGUGAUAGCCAGGACGGACUCAUUAUUCAGAGGAGUUUAGCUCUUUAUUUUUCUGGUGGGGAUAGGCAAGAGCUGAAGUUAAGGGUCACUGGCCGUAUAUGGAAGGAGGAAUGAGAUAUGGAAUGACAAAUUUUCAGCUGAUUGUACAGUUUGCAAAGAUGCAAGGGUUUCAACAUGCAGCAAAAGAUGAAGCUUCAGCUCCUAUUUUGGUUUUUCUAUUAUCUUUACAUGGUCUUUGUGAUUGAGGCAUUCGACAACCUAUUAUCAGCUCGCCACUUGAUGGAGCAGAUUCCAAUUGUAAGCUCACCAGUCUUUUAUCUGUUAUGAUUGAGUAUAGGAAUUGGAAAUUGGGUGACUAGGAGAUCCAUGCAGCAAAAUGCAUGUUCGGUUUGCACAUCCACGUUAAGCAUCUUAUUGAAAUUUGAAACUACCAUUAUUCUGUUUUUUCGUGCUUUUAUGUACCAUAUGCCCUGAUUGAGGUGAGCAAAAAUAAGGAUCCAAGUCUCUUUGCUUGUACCCGUCACUACUAAUAUAUCAAUCAUUGACACUUCAUUCACAUACUUGAAAGUGUGCAACCUUUCUUUUUCCAUCUUUUCCCUCUUCAAGAUAUUCACAUCUGGUUCCAAUAUACCAAGGAGACUAUGUGAAGGUGUUUUUUUUCCUUCAUAUUUUGAUUGUGAUUUGAUGUGCAAGUACUUGCAUGCAUAGGAGUUGAA